rnacentral:rRNA from 1 species
UACGGGGGGAGCAAGCGUUGUUCGGAUUUACUGGGCGUAAAGGGCGCGUAGGCGGCCAGCACAAGUCAGUUGUGAAAUCUCCGAGCUUAACUCGGAAAGGUCAACUGAUACUGUGCGGCUAGAGUGCGGAAGGGGCAACUGGAAUUCUUGGUGUAGCGGUGAAAUGCGUAGAUAUCAAGAGGAACACCUGCGGCGAAGGCGGGUUGCUGGGCCGACACUGACGCUGAUGCGCGAAAGCCAGGGGAACGAACGGG